rnacentral:rRNA from 1 species
CUGGCGGCGUGCUUAACACAUGCAAGUCGAACGGAAAGGCCCUGCUUUUGUGGGGUGCCCGAGUGGCGAACGGGUGAGUAACACGUGAGUAACCUGCCCUUGACUUUGGGAUAACUUCAGGAAACUGGGGCUAAUACCGGAUAGGAGCUCCUGCUGCAUGGUGGGGGUUGGAAAGUUUCGGCGGUUGGGGAUGGACUCGCGGCUUAUCAGCUUGUUGGUGGGGUAGUGGCUUACCAAGGCUUUGACGGGUAGCCGGCCUGAGAGGGUGACCGGCCACAUUGGGACUGAGAUACGGCCCAGACUCCUACGGGAGGCAGCAGUGGGGAAUAUUGCACAAUGGGCGGAAGCCUGAUGCAGCAACGCCGCGUGCGGGAUGACGGCCUUCGGGUUGUAAACCGCUUUCGCCUGUGACGAAGCGUGAGUGACGGUAAUGGGUAAAGAAGCACCGGCUAACUACGUGCCAGCAGCCGCGGUGAUACGUAGGGUGCGAGCGUUGUCCGGAUUUAUUGGGCGUAAAGGGCUCGUAGGUGGUUGAUCGCGUCGGAAGUGUAAUCUUGGGGCUUAACCCUGAGCGUGCUUUCGAUACGGGUUGACUUGAGGAAGGUAGGGGAGAAUGGAAUUCCUGGUGGAGCGGUGGAAUGCGCAGAUAUCAGGAGGAACACCAGUGGCGAAGGCGGUUCUCUGGGCCUUUCCUGACGCUGAGGAGCGAAAGCGUGGGGAGCGAACAGGCUUAGAUACCCUGGUAGUCCACGCUGUAAACGGUGGGUACUAGGUGUGGGGUCCAUUCCACGGGUUCCGUGCCGUAGCUAACGCUUUAAGUACCCCGCCUGGGGAGUACGGCCGCAAGGCUAAAACUCAAAGGAAUUGACGGGGCCCCGCACAAGCGGCGGAGCAUGCGGAUUAAUUCGAUGCAACGCGUAGAACCUUACCUGGGUUUGACAUGGAUCGGGAGUGCUCAGAGAUGGGUGUGCCUCUUUUGGGGUCGGUUCACAGGUGGUGCAUGGCUGUCGUCAGCUCGUGUCGUGGGAUGUUGGGUUAAGUCCCGCAACGAGCGCAACCCUUGUUCACUGUUGCCAGCACGUUAUGGUGGGGACUCAGUGGAGACCGCCGGGGUCAACUCGGAGGAAGGUGGGGAUGACGUCAAGUCAUCAUGCCCCUUAUGUCCAGGGCUUCACGCAUGCUACAAUGGCUGGUACAGAGAGUGGCGAGCCUGUGAGGGUGAGCGAAUCUCGGAAAGCCGGUCUCAGUUCGGAUUGGGGUCUGCAACUCGACCUCAUGAAGUCGGAGUCGCUAGUAAUCGCAGAUCAGCAACGCUGCGGUGAAUACGUUCCCGGGGCUUGUACACACCGCCCGUCAAGUCAUGAAAGUUGGUAACACCCGAAGCCGGUGGCCUAACCGUUGUGGGGGAGCCGUCGAAGGUGGGACU